rnacentral:lncRNA from 1 species
GGAGCCGAACCGGACCGGGACAGCCGGGCCCAGCGGGGCCGGGACAGCCGGGCCCAGCGGGGAAAGCAGAGCGGAGCGGGCCGGAUACGAGCCGAGCAGAACCGGGCUGAGCCAAACCGGACUGGGCCGCGAGCAGCCGAAAGCGCUCGGGCCGAACCGAGCGGAACCGGGAGUACCGAACCCGCUGGGACCGAGCCGAGUGGAACCGGGAGUACCGAACCCGUUGGGACCGAGCCGAGUGGAACCGGGAGUACCGAACCCGCUGGGACCGAGCCGAGCGGAACCGGGAUUACCGAACCUGCUCGGGCCGAGCGGAGCGGAACCGGGAGUAACCGGGAGUACCGAACCGAGCGGAACCGGGAUUACCGACCCGCUAGUACCGAACCCGAGCGGAACCGGGAGUACCGAACCGAGCGGGACCGGGAGUACCGAACCCGAGCGGAACCGGGAGUACCGAGCCCGUUCGGACCGGCCAUGGGGCAGAUCGAGUGGGCCAUGUGGGCGAACGAGCAGGCGCUCGCCGCCGGGCUCAUCCUGCUGACCGGCGGGAUCGUGGCGGUGGCGGGGCAGUUCCAGGGCUGGUACUUCGCGGCCUAUUCCAUCGCGGCGGGGGUUCUGGUCUGCCUGCUCGAGUACCCCAGGAGCAAACGGAAAAAGGGCUCCACCAUGGAGAGGUGUGGUCAGAAGUACCUGACAGCCGUGGUGAAGCUGCUGGGGCCCCUCACCAGGAAUUAUUACAUCCGAGCCGUCCUUCACGCCGUCCUGGCUGUGCCUGCCGGAUUCCUCCUCUCCACCAUCCUGGGCACCGUCUGCCUGGGCAUCGCCAGCGGCAUCUACCUGCUGGCUGCAGUCCGAGGGGAGGAGUGGAGACCCAUCGAGCAGAAGCCCCGGGAGCGGCCACAAGUGGGGGGCACCAUCAAGCAGCCCCCCAGCAACCCCCCGCCCCGACCACCCCCCGACGCCCGCAGGAAGCAGCCGGAGGUGGGGGGGCAGGUGAACCCCAUCCCUGUGGAGGUGGAAUAAUGGGGGGUCCUCCUGCCCCGCUGCUCCUGCUCCUGCUUCCCAGCUGCUCCUGGGGAUCCCCAAAUCCCUGGGGGUGCUGAGCUCCUGCUGGGGGUCCCCCACUCCUGGUGAUGCUCAGAUCUGUGGGAUCAUCAGUUCCCCCUGGGCUCCCCCAAAUUCCCAAAUCUGGGGUCCCCAGCUCCUGGGCAUCUCCAGAUCCCCAGCAAUGCUCAGCUCCCUGUAGGAUCUCCGUCUCCCACAGAUCCCCAGAUCCCUUAAGAAGCUCAGCUCCCAAAUUCCCAGUGAUGGGAUGCUCCUUGUGGGGUUUCCAGCCCUCGGGGGCUUCCCAGUUUCAGGAGAUUCCCAAAUCCCUGGGCCUGCUCAACUCCCAGUGGGGUCUCCAGCUCCCAGGAACUCCCCAGCUCCUGGACCUCCCCAAAUCCCUAAGAAUCUUCAGCUUCCUGUGGGAUCUGCAGCCCCCAAGGCCUUCCCUAAGGAUCCCCCAAAUCCUUGGGGAGUCUCAGCUCCCUGUGAGUCUCCAGUUCCUGGGAAACUCUGGAUCCCUGGGCAUGCUCAGCUCCCUGAGGGUCCCAACUCCCCGGGCACCCCCAGUUCCCUGGGGGAUCCCCAAAUCCCUGUGGAACUCCAGCUUUCAGGGAAUCCCCAGCUCCCGGGGGGAUCAGGCAGCUCUGCUCCCGCUCUCCUUGGUUUUUGUCCUUUCUGCAGUUGCUGUUGCAAUAAAAAGUGGGAAAGGCAGUGGCUGCCCCUGCCUCCUGCUCCAGGGGAACCCUCCCAGUCCUGCCCUGCUCCUGGGGGGCUGGGACAGGACUGGGGAGGUGUUUUGGGGACAAACGGUGCAGUUGUGGGUAAAUCCAGGAUGUCGGUGUGCAGAGUAUGGCCACGGCAGGGUCCCCUCCCAAAAUCCUUAUGGAGCCACAGUGGGGUGGAAUGGGGGGGGGCCCUGCACUGGGGGUGCACAGGGAGUCCCAAAGGAGCCCCCAAAACCGGGGGUAACCCCAGCAGGGAAUGUGGGGAGCAUUUCCCUUCCCAGUCCCACACGUGGGUGCUGCACGUUCUCCGGUGCGAUGUGGGUGCCAAAUCCCAAAUCCUUGAUCCCACUGGGAUCAGCAGCUGCUCCAGGUAGUGCUCCAGGCCCCUCAGGGGCUGCAGGUGGCCCAGAGGCCCCCGAGGUGCUGCCAGCACCCUGGCAGGUGGCACCAGCUCCGUGGGAAAGGUGUGGGUGUCGGGGUGCCAGGGCUGGGUCCCCCCCGGGGCUGGGGGUGUUGUGGGGCACCCCCGUGCCCUGCUGCCCUCCCCAUCACCUCCCAGUUCAUCCUGCCCUGCUGCACUGGUGCUCUGCCCACCCUGAGGGGUGUCCCAGCGCCGGGCAUUGCCCAGGGAUGUGCCCCAAUUCCCAACAUCCCAAUGCCCCGGGAGCAGAGCGAGGACUGUGCCAGGAGCUGUUAGCUUUUAUUGGCAGCAUUAAACAGCACUAGGAAGGAGACAAUAAAUACCUUUUU